rnacentral:rRNA from 1 species
ACUCCUACGGGAGGCAGCAGUAAGGAAUAUUGCCCCUUUNANCGAAAGCCUGACGCAGCGACGCCGCGUGGGGGAUGAAUGUCUUCGGAUUGUAAACCCCUUACAGGAGGGAAGAUGGAGCGAGCAAUCGUUCGGACGGUACCUCCAGAAGCAGCCACGGCCAACUUCGUGCCAGCAGCCGCGGUAAUACGAAGGUGGCAAGCGUUGUUCGGAUUCACUGGGCGUACAGGGUGUGUAGGCGGUUUGGUAAGCCUUCUGUUAAAGCUUCGGGCCCAACCCGGAAAGCGCAGAGGGUACUGCCAGGCUAGAGGGUGGGAGAGGAGCGCGGAAUUCCCG